GAUGAAGAACGUAGCGAAAUGCGAUAAGUAAUGUGAAUUGCAGAAUUCAGUGAAUCAUCGAAUGUUUGAACGCACAUUGCGCCCGCCAGUAUUCUGGCGGGCAUGCCUGUUCGAGCGUCAUUACAACCCUCAGGCCCCCGGGCCUGGCGUUGGGGAUCGGCGGAAGCCCCCUGCGGGCACAACGCCGUCCCCCAAAUACAGUGGCGGUCCCGCCGCAGCUUCCAUUGCGUAGUAGCUAACACCUCGCAACUGGAGAGCGGCGCGGCCACGCCGUAAAACACCCAACUUCUGAAUGUUGACCUCGAAUCAGGUAGGAAUACCCGCUGAACUUAAGCAUAUCAAUAAGCGGAGGA
rnacentral:misc_RNA from 1 species